UGAGACGAUCUGGCCCCUGGACGCAAACCGCCCCUGCGGAGGACGCGAAGACGUCAGGACGCUGAAGGGCCUCCGGCACCCGACACGCCAGUUCCCUGCAGCCUCUGCAUUUUGCUGCUGCAACGUGAACAGCCAACAGCAAUCUUGCACCUGCUAAGCUCUCUCAGGAGCCUCCCUCCACCUCGGCCUACGCCACCCUGCCUGGCUGCUUUUAAUCCUCUCCAGGCCAUUGUGACCUGUCACCAUCACACAUUCCUUUGUCCUUGUUCCCCAAUAGCCUCCCUCGCGGGCCAAGGACACCAUCUUCUUGCCAAACGCUACACCGCCCUGCCGCAGACCGGCGACGCUGCGGAGGGAUUUGUGAGCCCUGAGUCAAUUCUGCCAAGGCUGUAGGAGGAGGUGGAUAUAAAUGGAACUCGUAGAUGUGUCACAUACUGGGGUGCACCACGAGAAGCAGGCUUACUGCCAGUCACACGUCCAUCAGUUAGGUCAGGGUUGGUUGAGUUUUUAGGCUUAGGACUCUAGGCCUGGCUCCCUUGGAUCCUCUGGCUCACAGUGUCACCCAGGGCUGCAAUCGAGGUGUCAACCAGUUCCAAGGAGUCACCUGCAGAUGUGAUGAGGAAGGAUCCGCUUCCAAGCUCACCUAUGUGGUUGCUGGGUUCAGUUCUUCAAGGGCUGUUGGACUGUGGGCCUCCAUUCCUUGCUGGUUGUUGGCUGGCCGCCGCCCUCAGCUACUUGCCACAUGGGCCUAGUCAACACAUCAUCUUGUUUCCUCAAAGCCGGAAAAAGAGAGAAUUUGCCAGCCAGAUAAAUGUCACAGAAUUUUGGAACUUAAUCAUGGAAGUGAUAUCUCCUCAUCAUUGCUUGUAUUGGUUAGAAACAACUUACUCAAAAGAAUGGGACUAUGUAAGACUGAAUAGCAAAAGGUAGUGAUCACUGGGGGCCAUCUUACAGUCUGCCUACCACAGAAAGAGAGGCCCAGUGGAGCCUGGUACUUACUCAAGUUCACACAAUUAGUGACGGUGUCAAGAUUCCAAAUUGAGCAAUGCAGCUCCAGAAUCUAUGUUCUGCCUGCAGUAUGAUGCUUCUUAUGAUAUAAA
rnacentral:lncRNA from 1 species